rnacentral:tRNA from 1 species
GGGCCGUUAGCUCAGUUGGUCAGAGCAGUCGACUCAUAAUCGAUUGGUCACAGGUUCAAGUCCUGUACGGCCUA